GGUAUGGGAGGAAGGGGGAAGUGGAGAGGGUCAGCGCCGGCAGUGUUCGUCAUGGUGUGGUGAGGACAGGAGCACGUCCCUCGAUCCUGCUUUCCAGCCGUCAAGUGCGCUACAUCGGAAUCUACAGCAGCAGCAGCAGCAACAUCAGCUGCACCCUUAGUGACUCCAUCACCAUUCAUGUCAUGGUCGCAGCGAGCACCACGAAGGGGAUGACGGCGAUUGACGCAUGGCAACUGUGGCAGUGUUUCACUGCAAACAAAACAGCUCGAAGCAAAGACUUGAUUUCUAGCGUGAGCAGCGAGGGAACGGCAGGCGUCUUGCUGUAAACAAGGUUUCUAAACUCGAUUAAUAGAGGGUGGAAUUCAUAAGGGAUCCGUUGAUCGAGUACAACCAAGAGUACCUUGGCGUGAACAGCGAGGUAAUGGCCGAAAUCUCACUGAAGACACGGGGCUCUGAAGUCGGUGUGUACAGGAUUGGUGGGUAUUUGAAGACAAUCGGGGAAAUAAACCAGAGGAGUGAUGGUGAGGGGAGUUGUUGUUGGUUGUUCGAGCAAUGUGUCCUGCAUCCACCAUCCUACUUACUACACACAUCAUGCUCUGCAAGAAGAAAGAGUAAAAAUAAUACAUAAGAAAGAAGACUGCGUGCGGUAAAUAAGUGAGUGACUGAAAUCAAUCUGGGUCAGAAGCAGGUCAGCAGUCACCUCACAAACGAUACAUCCUCCCGACCAGCAACUACUAAGCUUGUUUGGCAGAGACACCUCACCCGUACACGUCUCUGGUGACUACGACUGAGCAUGAUCACCGACAGCACAAGAAAACAUGUACGAACCUGAGGGGCUGGGCCAUGACCUGUGACUCUUGCUGCCACUAUUACGCGGUAGUAGUGGUAGCAGCAGCAUCAUCAGCUACUUCUAAAAGUGGCUCUUGGGUUUUUUUUUAAGUGAUUAUGUGAAUGAAUACUACUACUAAUUACUACACUUAGUUUUGUUGAUCAACAACGCAUCAUCACCAAAUAAAUACAGCUUACGGUUUUUCUCAAGAUCUGAUAACCAC